AGUGAACGCUGGCGGUAGGCCUAACACAUGCAAGUCGAACGGCAGCACUGUAAGAGCUUGCUCUUACGGGUGGCGAGUGGCGGACGGGUGCGGAAUACAUCGGAAUCUACUUUUUCGUGGGGGAUAACGUAGGGAAACUUACGCUAAUACCGCAUACGACCUACGGGUGAAAGCAGGGGAUCUUCGGACCUUGCGCGAGUGAAUGAGCCGAUGUCGGAUUAGCUAGUUGGCGGGGUAAAGGCCCACCAAGGCGACGAUCCGUAGCUGGUCUGAGAGGAUGAUCAGCCACACUGGAACUGAGACACGGUCCAGACUCCUACGGGAGGCAGCAGUGGGGAAUAUUGGACAAUGGGCGCAAGCCUGAUCCAGCCAUACCGCGUGGGUGAAGAAGGCCUUCGGGUUGUAAAGCCCUUUUGUUGGGAAAGAAAAGCAGCAGGUUAAUACCCCGCUGUUCUGACGGUACCCAAAGAAUAAGCACCGGCUAACUUCGUG
rnacentral:rRNA from 1 species